GACGAACGCUGGCGGCGUGCUUAACACAUGCAAGUCGAGCGGAAAGGCCACUUCGGUGGUACUCGAGCGGCGAACGGGUGAGUAACACGUGAGUAAUCUGCCCCUCACUUUGGGAUAGCCACCGGAAACGGUGAUUAAUACCGGAUAUGACCAUAUGUCGCAUGGCGUGUGGUGGAAAGUUUUUCGGUGAGGGAUGUGCUCGCGGCCUAUCAGCUUGAUGGUGAGGUAAUGGCUCACCAUGGCUUCGACGGGUAGCCGGCCUGAGAGGGUGACCGGUCACACUGGGACUGAGACACGGCCCAGACUCCUACGGGAGGCAGCAGUGGGGAAUAUUGGACAAUGGGCGGAAGCCUGAUCCAGCAACGCCGCGUGAGGGAUGACGGCCUUCGGGUGGUAAACCUCUUUCAGUACCGACGAAGCGCAAGUGACGGUAGGUACAGAAGAAGCACCGGCCAACUACGU
rnacentral:rRNA from 1 species